rnacentral:rRNA from 1 species
ACGAAGUGGUUGAUGCCAUGCUUCCAAGAAAAGCUUCUAAGCUUCAGGUAACCAGGAACCGUACCCCAAACCGACACAGGUGGUUGGGUAGAGAAUACCAAGGCGCUUGAGAGAACUCGGGUGAAGGAACUAGGCAAAAUGGCACCGUAACUUCGGGAGAAGGUGCGCCGGUGAGGGUGAAGGACUUGCUCCGUAAGCUCAUGCCGGUCGAAGAUACCAGGCCGCUGCGACUGUUUAUUAAAAACACAGCACUCUGCAAACACGAAAGUGGACGUAUAGGGUGUGACGCCUGCCCGGUGCCGGAAGGUUAAUUGAUGGGGUUAGCUAACGCGAAGCUCUUGAUCGAAGCCCCGGUAAACGGCGGCCGUAACUAUAACGGUCCUAAGGUAGCGAAAUUCCUUGUCGGGUAAGUUCCGACCUGCACGAAUGGCGUAACGAUGGCGGCGCUGUCUCCACCCGAGACUCAGUGAAAUUGAAAUCGCUGUGAAGAUGCAGUGUAUCCGCGGCUAGACGGAAAGACCCCGUGAACCUUUACUAUAGCUUUGCACUGGACUUUGAAUUUGCUUGUGUAGGAUAGGUGGGAGGCUUUGAAGCGUGGACGCCAGUUCGCGUGGAGCCAACCUUGAAAUACCACCCUGGCAACUUUGAGGUUCUAACUCAGGUCCGUUAUCCGGAUCGAGGACAGUGUAUGGUGGGUAGUUUGACUGGGGCGGUCUCCUCCUAAAGAGUAACGGAGGAGUACGAAGGUGCGCUCAGACCGGUCGGAAAUCGGUCGUAGAGUAUAAAGGCAAAAGCGCGCUUGACUGCGAGACAGACACGUCGAGCAGGUACGAAAGUAGGUCUUAGUGAUCCGGUGGUUCUGUAUGGAAGGGCCAUCGCUCAACGGAUAAAAGGUACUCCGGGGAUAACAGGCUGAUACCGCCCAAGAGUUCAUAUCGACGGCGGUGUUUGGCACCUCGAUGUCGGCUCAUCACAUCCUGGGGCUGAAGCCGGUCCCAAGGGUAUGGCUGUUCGCCAUUUAAAGUGGUACGCGAGCUGGGUUUAGAACGUCGUGAGACAGUUCGGUCCCUAUCUGCCGUGGACGUUUGAGAUUUGAGAGGGGCUGCUCCUAGUACGAGAGGACCGGAGUGGACGAACCUCUGGUGUUCCGGUUGUCACGCCAGUGGCAUUGCCGGGUAGCUAUGUUCGGAAUAGAUAACCGCUGAAAGCAUCUAAGCGGGAAACUAGCCUCAAGAUGAGAUCUCACUGGAACCUUGAGUUCCCUGAAGGGCCGUCGAAGACUACGACGUUGAUAGGUUGGGUGUGUAAGCGCUGUGAGGCGUUGAGCUAACCAAUACUAAUUGCCCGUGAGGCUUGACCAU